rnacentral:rRNA from 1 species
UACGUAGGGUGCGAGCGUUGUCCGGAAUUAUUGGGCGUAAAGAGCUCGUAGGCGGUGUGUCGCGUCGGCCGUGAAAACCUGCAGCUUAACUGUGGGCUUGCGGUCGAUACGGGCAUCACUGGAGUUCGGCAGGGGAGACUGGAAUUCCUGGUGUAGCGGUGAAAUGCGCAGAUAUCAGGAGGAACACCGGUGGCGAAGGCGGGUCUCUGGGCCGAUACUGACGCUGAGGAGCGAAAGCGUGGGGAGCGAUCCGG